UAACACAUGCAAGUCGAACGAUAUAGUGGCAGACGGGUGAGUAACGCGUGGGAACGUACCUUUCACUACGGAAUAGCUCUUGGAAACGAGUGGUAAUACUGUAUACGCCCUUCGGGGGAAAGAUUUAUCGGUGAAAGAUCGGCCCGCGUUAGAUUAGCUAGUUGGUAGGGUAAUGGCCUACCAAGGCGACGAUCUAUAGCUGGUCUGAGAGGAUGAUCAGCCACACUGGGACUGAGACACGGCCCAGACUCCUACGGGAGGCAGCAGUGGGGAAUCUUGCACAAUGGGCGAAAGCCUGAUGCAGCCAUGCCGCGUGAAUGAUGAAGGCCUUAGGGUUGUAAAAUUCUUUCGCUAGGGAUGAUAAUGACAGUACCUAGUAAAGAAGCCCCGGCUAACUUCGUGCCAGCAGCCGCGGUAAUACGAAGGGGGCUAGCGUUGUUCGGAAUUACUGGGCGUAAAGCGCACGUAGGCGGACUUUUAAGUCAGAUGUGAAAUCCCGGGGCUCAACCUCGGAACUGCAUUUGAUACUGGAAGUCUAGAGACCAGGAGAGGUUAGCGGAAUACCGAGUGUAGAGGUGAAAUUCGUAGAUAUUCGGUGGAACACCAGUGGCGAAGGCGGCUAACUGGACUGGUACUGACGCUGAGGUGCGAAAGUGUGGGGAGCAAACAGGAUUAGAUACCCUGGUAGUCCACACCGUAAACGAUGAGAGCUAGUUGUUGGCAGGCAUGCCUGUCGGUGACGCAGCUAACGCAUUAAGCUCUCCGCCUGGGGAGUACGGUCGCAAGAUUAAAACUCAAAGAAAUUGACGGGGGCCCGCACAAGCGGUGGAGCAUGUGGUUUAAUUCGAAGCAACGCGCAGAACCUUACCUACCCUUGACAUACCGAUCGCGGUUUCCAGAGAUGGAUCCUCAGUAGGCUGAUCGUACUGCGCAUGGCUGUCGUCAGCCCGUGUCGUGAGAUGUUGGGUUAAGUCCCGCAACGAGCGCAACCCUCAUCCUUAGUUGCCAUCACGUUUGGGUGGGCACUCUAAGGAAACUGCCGGUGGUAAGCCGGAGGAAGGUGGGGAUGACGUCAAGUCCUCAUGGCCCUUACGGGUAGGGCUACACACGUGCUACAAUGGCAGUGACAAUGGGUUAAUCCCCAAAAACUGUCUCAGUUCGGAUUGUCGUCUGCAACUCGACGGCAUGAAGGUGGAAUCGCUAGUCACUGUGGAUCAGCAUGCCACGGUGAAUACGUUCCCGGGCCUUGUACACACCGCCCGUCACAUCAUGGGAAUUGGUUCUACCCGAAGACGCUGUGCUAACUUCGGAGGCAGGCGGCCACGGUAGGAUCAGUGACUGGGAUG
rnacentral:rRNA from 1 species